UCGGGAAUUUUGGGCAAUGGGCGAAAGCCUGACCCAGCAACGCCGCGUGAAGGAUGAAGUAUUUCGGUAUGUAAACUUCGUAAGAAUAGGAAGAAUAAACGACGGUACUAUUUGUAAGGUCCGGCUAACUACGUGCCAGCAGCCGCGGUAAUACGUAGGGACCAAGCGUUGUUCGGAUUUACUGGGCGUAAAGGGCGCGUAGGCGGCGUGGUAAGUCAUCUGUGAAAUCUCCGAGCUUAACUCGGAACGGUCAGAUGAUACUGCUGUGCUAGAGUACAGAAGGGGCAAUCGGAAUUCUUGGUGUAGCGGUGAAAUGCGUAGAUAUCAAGAGGAACACCUGAGGUGAAGACGGGUUGCUGGGCUGAUACUGACGCUGAGGCGCGAAAGCUAGGGUAGCAAACGGGAUUAGAUACCCCUGUAGUCCCUGAGCGGGCUGGCAAGGCGCAU
rnacentral:rRNA from 1 species